rnacentral:miRNA from 1 species
ACUUAAUGGCUCCAAAAUCGCCAG